UUUUUGUUUCCUAUUAGAACUAGAACUCUUUAAAAACUAGUAUAAAUAUGGGAUCUAUUUUCAAACCCUAAAGGAGACGGACACACUAAUUAAUUAGGGUUUUAGAGAGAGCAGAGAGGGCCAGAAACGUGUAGGCAGAAGAUCUGAGCUGGAGUCAGAUUUUCGCAGGAAAUCAAGUUCUGGCAGUUUCGGGAGAACGGCCAUAACUUCCUCCACAGAACUCCGAUUCAAGCGAAACAGGCGGCCACGGAAAGCUCUCUCGAAGACGAAGAAGUCGUAUUUCUGGGCAAAAUAUGAUUUGAGGACGUUUGGGGCUUCAAACGAAGGUUUGAAGCUGACUGGUCUGUUCAGCUGCGAUUUGACGAAUUCUUCUGGUGCGGCGCUAUUAAGACCUUCAUUCCGGAUUUGAUUUAUUUAGCUUCGACUUUAAGGUGAGGGAUUUUACACUUAUUCAUAUGGUUAUAUAUGUUUUAUUAUCGCGUUGAUUACUUGUUUACGUGCAUCCUUGACUAUGUUGUUAUGUGUGAUCAUGGGACCUAAGCCAUUGAUCUAUGUUAUGUGCGAUCAUGGGACCUAAGCCAUUGAUCUAUGUUAUGUGCGAUCAUGGGACCUAAGCCAUUGAUCUAUGUUAUGUGCGAUCAUGGGACCUAAACCAUUGAUCUAUGUUAUGUGUGAUCAUGGGACCUAAGCCAUUGAUCGAUCAUGGGACCUAAGCCAUUGAUUUAUGUAUGUGUUUGGUCAUGGGACUUAAGCCAUCGACUCAAAAUAUGAUUAUGUUUGUCAAGGGGCUCUAGUCUCUUGGCGUAUGUUUGCAAGUAUGAUAAUGUGAUUUAAUUAUAUAUGUGACAUAUAUGAAUAUUUUGUUAUGUUCCUCACUGAGUAUAUUUUCAAUAUGCUCACCCCUUAUUUUCUCAGUUUUGCAGUUCUGGAGUCGAGGUGGCCAUGGAAGUCGAGAAUGACUAG
rnacentral:lncRNA from 1 species